UCUAGAGGCUUCGGCAAUGGGGACAACCCUGACCGAGCGACGCCGCGUGUGGGAUUGAAGGCCUUCGGGUCGUAAACCACUGUCAUUGGGAAAGAAUGCCCUGGUGGCGAACCAGGGAGAGACGGUACCCAAGAAGGAAGCCCCGGCUAACUCCGUGCCAGCAGCCGCGGUAAUACGGAGGGGGCAAGCGUUGUUCGGAUUUACUGGGCGUAAAGGGUGUGUAGGCGGCUGGGCAAGUCUGGUGUGAAAUCUUCACCGCUUAACGGGAAGAGUGCACUGGAAACUGCCUAGCUCGAGUAUGGUAGAGGCAAGCGGAAUUCCUGGUGUAGCGGUGGAAUGGGUAGAUAUCAGGAAGAACACCGGUGGCGAAGGCGGCUUGCUGGGCCAUCACUGACGCUGAGACACGAAAGCGUGGGGAGCAAACG
rnacentral:rRNA from 1 species